UACGUAGGGCGCAAGCGUUGUCCGGAAUUAUUGGGCGUAAAGAGCUCGUAGGUGGCGUGUCGCGUCUGCCGUGAAAGCCCAUGGCUUAACUGUGGGUCUGCGGUGGAUACGGGCAGGCUGGAGGCUGGUAGGGGCAAGCGGAAUUCCUGGUGUAGCGGUGAAAUGCGCAGAUAUCAGGAGGAACACCGGUGGCGAAGGCGGCUUGCUGGGCCAGUUCUGACGCUGAGGCGCGAAAGCUAGGGGAGCGAACGGG
rnacentral:rRNA from 1 species